UACGGGGGGGGGCAAGCGUUGUUCGGAAUUACUGGGCGUAAAGGGCUCGUAGGCGGCCAACUAAGUCGGACGUGAAAUCCCCAGGCUCAACCUGGGAACUGCGUCCGAUACUGGAUGGCUUGAAUUCGGGAGAGGGAUGCAGAAUUCCAGGUGUAGCGGUGAAAUGCGUAGAUAUCAGGAGGAACACCAAUAGCGAAGGCAGCUCGCUGGGACGGUAUUGACGCUAAGGCGCGAAAGCGUGGGGAGCAAACAGG
rnacentral:rRNA from 1 species